AAGAGGAGAGAAGGAAAAGAAAAGAAAAGGAAGGUGUCUUCUAGGAGGAAGAGGAAUAUUUUCACCUUUUUAUUCUUCUUGAUGAAAACUCUUUCUACCACCUACCGUAUACUUGCGACGUCUCCUUUAUGCGGAAUGAAGAGUGAAUAACCUUGGAAAACAGAGAUAGUAGCAGAGGAUGGAGAAGGAGCAGAGGGUUCUUAUAAGGAUUAAAUAAGUUCACAUUUGCGAACUGCUUGGACCAGUGCCUGUAAUAUGAACGCUUUGUGGUACGUCCAAAGGAAGUACGUGCGGGUGCCCCAGCCUUCCCCACAGAACAAUGGACUGACUACUUCAAGUGAGUUGCUACACGCUCAGCACAGACUCAGACAACACAAGAAAAUAUAUAUCAAGGUUUUUUAUCAUGGAGAAGUUCAGCGUUUGGGGAAAAGCAAGAUUUACGUACAAGAAGCGAGUGGAAGACAAUACAAGGCGAAUGCCUGAUGCAGCAAUGAAGUUGUCCCUUCUCAAUCUCAGGAAACCCCUUAACCUCACAAAACCUUAGCGUUUGCUUUUCUCAUUACAGAGCCCUAAAGCAAACAGGAACUGAGGCAAAGAGAUUUAAAUUAGAAGAGCAACUUAGUAAUAAUAAUGCUUGUAGUACAGAGCUUUUCAUGUAUGUUGUCUCAAGGUACUGUAAGACCUUGAAAAACAAUGCUUAAAGGAAGUGGGCAGGGGUUCCACUAUUUUUUUCUGACCUAACUGAUAUUUGGGGAGGCCCAGUGCUAGGGACAGAACUGUGAGGUGGACAGAUUUAUGUGACACUCUUCCUUCCUCAACUAGAUAGAGCACCUCCUCCUCCUGCAUUUCCCUCUCUUCCUUCCUGCUGCAGUUAGUGGAAUCUUAAUUUUCACCCCCACCCCUACCCCC